GCAACCUGAAGCUGGCCGGGCAGAACCGCACCGUGUUCCUGAGCCUGCUGGGCAUCUCCUGGCUGUGGUUCGUCGGCGCGACCUUCCUGACCUCGUUCUUCGGCUUCGCCAAGGACGUGCUG
rfam:Burkholderia gladioli BSR3 chromosome 1, complete sequence.